AGGAGCGUCAAACUACUGAAACCCAACAAAACAAUACACAUAACAUGCUUACACCAUUAAAACAUCACAACAACACCUAAUCAUGUAUAACCCAUGAAAACACUAAAACAACCUAUAUAAGCAACUCUACCCUUAUCCUCUGUAAAAACUGUUAAAACCAAGAAAACAAGAAAAGGAACAACUCUCUUACCUCCUGAAACUAGAAGAGGAACAACUUGAACUCAGUAAAUCCCCUUCACAAGCUUCAAACCACCAAAACCUCUCUUUUCUCUCCAACCCUUCACAACUCUUUGAAACACACUCAACCCUCUGCACGAGCUGAUAAAAGCUUGCAGAUGAGUCAAGGGAGACGUGGCCUAACCUCUGGUCAUGAUCUGGAGGUGAACACCUGGCCAAACCACGGACUGAGGAGCGUGCACAACUAACCGACCACCUCAGCUUCGGCUACCGAAACUGCAUGCAAAACCAUGCAACUUUCGGGGGCCGAACAUAACCUUCGGGGGCCGAACAUUGGGCACUUUCGGCGGCCGAACUUAGCUUCGGCAGCCGAACCUGGCCUUUGUCCCCAAUGCCUUUUCUCUUCAAAACUCACUCCUUUUUCAUUCUAAACCUUUAAAAUACUUACAAAUAAUGUAGAAAACCUUCUCUUACCCGUCUAGAAACCUCUGACAUCCU
rnacentral:lncRNA from 1 species